GAUCCUGGCUCAGGAUGAACGCUAGCUACAGGCUUAACACAUGCAAGUCGAGGGGCAGCAUGGUCUUAGCUUGCUAAGGCUGAUGGCGACCGGCGCACGGGUGAGUGACGCGUAUCCAACCUGCCCAUCACUUGGGAAUAACCUUGCGAAAGUAAGACUAAUGCCCAAUGAUAUCCCACGAAGGCAUCCGAAUGGGAUUAAAGAUUUAUCGGUGAUGGAUGGGG
rnacentral:rRNA from 1 species